rnacentral:rRNA from 1 species
CCUACGGGUGGCAGCAGUGAGGAAUAUUGGUCAAUGGACGAGAGUCUGAACCAGCCACGCCGCGUGAAGGAUGACUGUCCUCGGUGUUGUAAACUUCUUUUAUAAAGGAAUAAAACGAGGCACGUGUGCCUUUUUGCAUGUACUUUAUGAAUAAGGAUCGGCUAACUCCGUGCCAGCAGCCGCGGUAAUACGGAGGAUCCGAGCGUUAUCCGGAUUUAUUGGGUUUAAAGGGAGCGUAGAUGGGUUGUUAAGUCAGUUGUGAAAGUUUGCGGCUCAACCGUAAAAGUGCAAUUGAUACUGGCAGGCUUGAGUGCAGGUGAGGUAGGCGGAAUUCGAGGUGUAGCGGUGAAAUGCUUAGAUAUCACGAAGAACCCCGAUGGCGAAGGCAGCUUGCUGGACUGUGACUGACGCUGAGGCUCGAAAGUGUGGGUAUCAAACAGGAUUAGAUACCCCUGUAGUC